GACGAACGCUGGCGGCGUGCCUAAUACAUGCAAGUCGAGCGAACCAAAGGGAGCUUGCUCCCUUUGGUUAGCGGCGGACGGGUGAGUAACACGUGGGUAACCUGCCUGUAAGAUUGGGAUAACUCCGGGAAACCGGGGCUAAUACCGGAUAACAUUUUGAACCGCAUGGUUCAAAAUUAAAAGGUGGCUUUUGCUACCACUUACAGAUGGACCCGCGGCGCAUUAGCUAGUUGGUGAGGUAACGGCUCACCAAGGCAACGAUGCGUAGCCGACCUGAGAGGGUGAUCGGCCACACUGGGACUGAGACACGGCCCAGACUCCUACGGGAGGCAGCAGUAGGGAAUCUUCCGCAAUGGACGAAAGUCUGACGGAGCAACGCCGCGUGAACGAUGAAGGCCUUCGGGUCGUAAAGUUCUGUUGUUAGGGAAGAACAAGUACCAG
rnacentral:rRNA from 1 species